GCUUACGGCCACACCGCCUGGUUCACGCCUUGUUCACGCUUGAUCUCGGGAAGCUAAGAUAGGGUGGGCCAGGUUAGUACUUGGAUGGGAGACCGCCUGGGAAUACCAGGUGCUGUAAGCU
rnacentral:rRNA from 1 species